ensembl:processed_transcript
GCCCUCUGAUCUCUUUUUUAUUGUUCAUUGUUUUUUUUUUUUUUUCCCCCGAGACAGGGCCUUACUAUGUAGUCCUCGAUGUUCUGGAAUUCACAGACCAGGCUGGCCUCAAACCCACAGAAAUCCACCUGCCUCUGCCUCCUGAGUGCUGGGACUAAAGGCAUUGGUCACUCUGUGUGGCUGACUUUAAACUCCUAACACUGCAGUUUUUGUGUCCCAAGUACCGAGAUUCUAGCAUGAACCAGCACACCCCAAUGAGUUUGACUUGUGUUGGAGGACUUCUGUGAUGGCCCAGGAAAGACUCAGAUUAUCCUUUUCCAGAAUCCAGUUACAUAGUGGGUGUAAAAUGUACAGCUCAGGCAACCAGUGGUGAUCGUCUGUCUUCUGUUGAAACUCCUUUGUGUGGUUAGAAUUCCAGGCCGCAGAGGCUUGCAUUUCAGGCCAAGCUGUUCCGGUCACAAGCUUUAAGCAUUCUCUGAUGUUGGCUUGAGGAGGGUGCUGGUUAUUCGGCACCAAUUCCAGUACCUCCUAGACUACCAGCAGGCUCUGGAGACCAGGUUGGCCUCGAACUCAGAAAUCCGCCUGCCACCACGUCCUGCUUACUAGUUGCCUAUUAAAUUAACCCCAUAGUCUCCAAACUAGAUGUUUGAGAAGGAGGCAAGGGGAAGGCUGGGUGGCUCCCCCUUACUGAGCAGAACCUCUCUAGCCACAGAGCUGGAAUCUAGCUGGCAUCUUGGUUUGUCUGCUGCUCGAUCAAGUCCUCAUUUCCUAACAUGUAUUCAUGAGGUGUGUCUGCUUUGGAAAUACAGUAGAUGAAUUAGUUAUCUGUCUCCAUCCUGGAACUUCCUUUCUGGCAGGAGUCAGUAAACAAAUUGGAUUUUGUGUUUGAGUGCCAUGGAGAACAUAAAACAAAACAAGGGAUGGUACAGGGGUUUGGAAAAGUGGGCAGAUACUCUGAGCUGUUCAGAGACGUGCUCUGAGGAGGUGACAUUCCAAGCUGACCUGAAACCUGAGUGGGAAGUAGAAGCCAGCCAUGGGCAGGAGAAGAGGCCCAAGGAGGAGUGAGCAUGGCCGUUUCGGUGUUAGAAGCACCAGCAGGACUAGCUGUUGAUCAGAGACCGUGGAGAAAGAUGAACUUUGAAGAAGCAAAAGGACUUGCUCAUAGUGGGAAUAAGGGUAUUAUUCUCACUGAAUUAGGAAUACUGAUUUACUUCCAUAGGCAGCUUGCUAUGGCUAACCGACUGGGAUUUAUCUAAGGAAACUCAUCUGUAGAGGGUAGAGUUGAAAUGAGUUGUUUUUUUUUUUUUUGGACAGGGUCCCAAGUCCUGGGAUUAAAAGCAAGCGUUCCUCUUGAAAGCUGUUGAACUUUAUUCCGCGCUGGGAUAGCGAGAAUUGGAUGAAUCCAAGAUGGUUUUGGAGUUGCUAGGGAAUUGGACAUGGGAGAUGGAUAGGAUGAUGGGAGGGAGGGAAAGAACUGACUUUCCGGACAACUGCUGAGCAACUGAGACUAACGGUCCCCUGUGGAGCUGGUGUCUGUUGUAGACCUUGGCUCCUAGGGAGUGUGGGCAGCUUCCCAGAGAAGGGAUUGCCAGGGUUUAUCAGGGUUGUGGGCCUCGCACUCAUACACUGAAUCCUGCCCACUCCAGGAACUUGUGUUUGUUCUUUAAGCUAUACUGCUCUGCCUUGUCUCUCUGAGCUCUGUGUACUUAUAUUCAUGGUUGUAUUUUCUCCCCACCCCUUUUUGUUUGAAAUAGGGUCUUACAUCACAGCCUAGGCCAUUCUCAAACUCAUGAUAAUCCUCUCUCCUGGUCCCCCCCCCCCCCCCCAGCGCAGGGUUUUCUCUGUGUAGCCCUGGCUGUCCUGGAAGUUGAUUUGUAGAUGAGGCUGAUUUUGAAUUCAGAGAUCUGUCUCCUUCUUGAGUGUUGGGAUUAAAGGUUUGCCACACUGGACUUCUGCUGUGCCUCUUGAGAAGGCUUUUGGGAAGAGAGACUUUGAGUUUGGAGUUUGCUUUCUGAGUGGUACACAUAUCCUGCUGCCACAUAUCCUAAAUGAUACUUUUAUUCAUAUGAUUUAGUUCCAGAGAGCUACCAUUUGAUCUCAUUCUCCAAAGAGGCCUUCGUUUAGUGUGCUUGAUAUAGUCAGAGUUAGACUGGACCAUCAGAACGAUCUGUAAGGAGGCCAGGGAGAAGAGGCAACAUUAGUAUUUCCAGAGGGGAACCUGAAAUAGGAAAGAUUAUUGCAGAAACAGGAUUCCUUGUCUUUUGCCUCUGAGCCUGCUUGGGCAACAGUGAAGAGUCUGACUCAGAGACAAUGGGGAGUCAGGUUACUGAUAGAAACAAAGGAUUGGGGGACUCUGACAGCCUCUCUGUUGAGGAAUGUUCUGAAAGAGGUCAGUUUUCUUUUUCCAUAGUCUCCUCAGUGCCAGCAUUACAGGCAAGUACCACCUCUCUCCGCUCCAGUGUGAUAUUGGAGACUGAACCCUUGUGCAUGCUAGACAGCACUGUAUCCCUUAGUGAUACCCAGCCCCUCACACUGGUUAUUAAAAAGUGCAUUUAUUAUAUUAGUGUGCUGUUGUCCAGUUGCAUAGUAGGGCGUUUAAAGUUGUCUCCUUUGUUCUUUAUCAAGUAGAUCUCUGCCUUGCAGACCUCUUUCAUCUGUACUUAGGUUUGUUUUUUUUUUUUUUUAAAGCAACAUUAUGGGGUAUAAUUACAGACUUCUAUGUGUGCUUAUUAACAGUUUAGGAAUUGUUUUUCUUACCAGGCUUUCUCACCAGUAUCACCGUUCACAGUCCAGUUUUAGGGAAUCCCAUCACUUUGGUAUGCUUGUUCAAGGCCCUUUCUAUUGGAUCCCAGUCUCCACCACAGCUCCAGGUUCAUCUUUCUCUGUAGUUUGUCUUUUCUAGAAAUUUCAUAACUUCGUGAUCAUAUGAUGUGUGGCUUUCUGGGUCUGACUUCUUCUUUAACUUAGAAUAAUACUUUCUUUUUCUAUCCAUCCAUCCAUCCAUCCAUCCUUUAUUUAAAAUUUGACAUACUCUUAUUUAUUUAUUUAUUUACUUAUUCAUUUAUUUAUUUAAAUUUUGACAUACUCUUGUGUAGCCCAGCUUGGCCUCAGUCAUGUAGCACAGUGUAUGUAGCAUAAGUACAACCUUGAUCUCUUGGUCCUCCUGUACCCACGUACUGAGAUUACAAGAUACAAACCCAUACCUGCUUUAACAUGACUUAAAGGUCAUCUGUGUUGUAGAUGUGCCAUAUAGUUUAACUCCUUACCUCUGGUUUGACAGGUACCUUGCCAAAUGGACCAGUGCUCAACCAACGUUUUGAAGGAUUUGGAAGUAUUUCAGUACUUGGAUAUUGACUCUCCAUUAGGAACUUUCUUACAGGGUGCAGAUAAAAUGUCUAUGAGACAUGUGGAAUGAUAUGGGACUAGAAGAAGCCUUAGGACAGUGUGGCCCUGGGUAGGGACAUUUCACAUAGCUCAUGAUAUUCAGGGAGAGGAAUGGGCAAGAGAGACUAGAUCAUAGUCACCAUGCUUAUUUUUCUCAUAGACCAUAGUUUUUGUUAUUAUUUUAGGAACAGAUUGCAUUCAGUAAUAAAAAGUGGGCUGGAGAGAUGCUUAGUGGUUAAACAUUAGCUGUGCUUCCGGAGGACCCGGGUUUGAUUCUCAGUACUGUCAUAUGAUAGCUUAUAACUGUACAUAUCUGCAGUUCCAGGGGAUCUGAUGCCCUCUUUUGGCCUCCUCAGGUACUUUCACAUACAUGGUGUACAGACAGACAUACAUGCAUACAGUAAUAAAAUAUAUAUUAAAAAAAAAAAAGACGUGGUGCUGGAGGCUAGCACAGUGAUUAGGAACACGGCUGCUCUGCCAAAGGGCCCGGAUGCCUUUCCCAGCACUGCCAUAAUGAUAGUGCACAAUCUUCUGGUCUGAGAGAUCUGAUAUCCUUUCUGGCCUUCACAGGCAUGAGGCAGACACACAGUGAAAUUACAUACAUGCAGGCAAAAUACCUCUAUACAUAAAAUAAAAAUUAAAUAUAACAAAGAAAUCUAUAGAAAAUAAGUAACUACUAUGUGGAACAACAUGGUUGAAUUUAAGAAACCUGUCAAAUAAAACAAGUUUAAGAGCCUAGAGAUUUAGCUCAGUUGGUAGAGUGCUUAUGUAUCGUUCAUUAGGCCUUGGGUUAAUCUCCACACUGUAUACACUGAACAUGGGGCAGAUGCCUCUAAUCCUAGCACUCAGGGAAUGGAAGCAGGAGGAUCAGAAGUUUAAGGUCAUCCUUGACUACAUAGCAAGUUUGGGGUCAGCCAUGGAUCAUGAGAAGCUGCCUUUAAAAAAAAAGCUUUAAGUAUUUGACUCAACAAAAUACAGUAACUCAGAAGAAUAUCUGAUUCCAUUUAUAUGCAAUUCUAAAGUGAAACGCAAGGAAGAUCAGUACUGUAAGUCAGGUGUAGUAGCACAGGCUGAUAAUGCCUCACUCCGGAGCAUCCAUGUAAGAUAACCCACAUAAGAUGUUUAAGGGCAGCCUGCACAUAAGAUGUUUAAGGGCAGCCUGCACAGGUCUUCUC